CAGCUGGCUGGUGGAGUAACGGUUCACCAGGGCGACGAUCGGUAGCUGGUCUGAGAGGACGAUCAGCCACACUGGGAUUGAGAACGGCCCCGACUCCUACGGGGGGCAGCAGUGAGGAAUUUUCGUCAAUGGGGGCAACCCUGAACGAGCAACGCCGCGUGCAGGAAGAAGGUUUUCGGAUCGUAAACUGCUUUUCUCGGGGACGAGCGCGGACGGUACCCGAGGAAGAAGCCCCGGCUAACUACGUGCCAGCAGCCGCGGUAAUACGUAGGGGGCAAGCGUUGUCCGGAGUUACUGGGCGUAAAGCGCACGCAGGCGGUUCUUUCAGUUCACAGUGACAGUCGUCGGCUUCACUGACGAAGGACUAGGAAGACGGGAGAACUUGAGGACUUCAGAGGGACACGGAAUUCCGGGUGGAGUGGUGAGAUGCGUAGAUAUCCGGAGGAACACCAACAGCGAAGGCAGUGUCCUGGGAAGUACCUGACGCUCAGGUGCGAAAGCCAGGGGAGCGAACGGGAUUAGAUACCCCGGUAGUCCUGGCCGUAAACGAUGACCACUAGACGUGGGGGGUAUCGACCCCCUCCGUGUCGGAGCUAACGCGGUAAGUGGUCCGCCUGGGGAGUACGGUCGCAAGAUUAAAACUCAAAGGAAUUGACGG
rnacentral:rRNA from 1 species